rfam:Erinaceus europaeus unplaced genomic scaffold scaffold00090, whole genome shotgun sequence
UAGCGUCCGUCUGUGCAGCCGAUGGCACCCGGAGCAGCGGAGGCCUGGCCAGAGUGAGGCGUAGCAGAGCAGGAGGGAACUUCUGGAGCCCAGAGUCGCCCAGACCGCAGCUCAGGAGCCAGAGGCUUAGCGGGAGGACGGCCUCCA